UUUCACUUUUGAAAUACUCGUUGGAUGUCUUUGUCGAGUCCUAUAAUUCUUACUCUGUAAUGUUUAGCACAAAUGACAAAGUGGAUUACUCCAUAUGAAGUGGGUUAAUUUUACAAAUGAGGUGCAUAUAGGUACUACCUAAAUUAAUUUGAGAUACUUAAUUAUUAAUCAUUAAAGUAUGAAAGUAUUUUUUAUUCCUUUACGAAACAAGAAGUACCUAGAUGAGUGCUUUCGCCCCAUUCAUUAAUUGCCUUUGCAUGUAUGUAUGUAUGCAUAGCGUUCUCAUUGUUGCAGACGGUACUAAAAUAUGAUAUUGAAUUUAGUAAAUUACGCCUUAUAGUUUUCCGUUGAAUAUAUGAAGGAGCUUUUUCCGAAAGUUUCUUACCGAUCUGACUAAAUGGGGAACCCUAAUACAAAGUAAAUCGUGUAGUCCAGCACGUUGUAGAAGUACGAGGUUUUGAACUCGUUUGAAAUUGCGGCCGGCGUGGCUCCACCAAUUGUUUGGAACGAAAAUACCCUUACAGCCGACACCUCUUUGACAAAGAGCGCUUUUCUUGAUGCACAGCGAUUUUUCAUGCUCGUCAGUCCAGCAGUACCUUCCUCGUGAGCCGUUGCCAUGAUGUAAAUCAGCCCCGCCAUCACGAUUGCGCAGAUCACCGCAAGGUAUGGAAGCACCCAGUAGUACAGGGCAGGAACUUUGUCAAAUAGCAUCAAUGUUGCGUAGUUACUUGCAACCUAAGGGUAAGCAGUAAGAUAAUUGGUAUAAGCAAUUUGGACGUUUUAAGUAGAACUUCGGUGCCGAAAAUGUAAAAAGUUAAAAGCCAUAUGUAGAAUAACGAAGAUCUGGUAAAGUUUUUUUUUUAAUUUGGCGCCACGUUAAAUUUUCCAUUUUCCCCACCUAAUUUCAAUAUUUCCUGUAUUUGUUGAUGCACGUAUUAAAACUGCUCAGGUCGUAAACUACGUAAACAGACCAACCUGAAUCGAGAAUCCGAUGAAAAUGCUCAACGUCGUCAUGAUAUUUAGGGGUCGACGUAUCAUUAAUAUGUUCGCCAUGAAGAGAACCACCAGAACUAGAAUCACAAUGACCCGAGACCCUUCCAAGAAAAGGAUUAGAAGAGACGAAAAACGGAUAAGUAAUAAGGCCAGUUGGAGAAAGCGAUUCGAACCCAAGUUCCUUGAGUUCAGGACAAGGACGUAGUAAAGUGGAUCCCAUCCCAUGACGACUUCAAUGAUGGCGGCAGCUAUUGACGACAUGGUGUAGGAUUUACAUACGACGACCGCAAUUCUCCGAAUCAUAUGGCUUGUUUUGAUUCCAUUCAUAUUGCGCGGGCAGGCUAGUUGGUGUUCUUGAAGGAUGACACCAAGUCUCCAGUUUGCGAUAACUGGUACAAAUAGAGAUAUAAUGGUGCAACCGAAACAGAACACGAUCGUAUAAGACCAGCCAGUUAUUAUCGGCACAUUGAUUUCGGGUUUCGGCAGAACGUUCGUAACGUUGAUCAAGUGGCUUGCAAUGAUUAUGCCUCCAGGAAUCGAGCUAAAAAUUAUUGUGAACACAAUUCGGCACCAGAAAGCUCGAAAAGUGCCUAAACGUACGUCGACUUGGAGGAAUGACCCGUCUCUGUCAAUGGUCAGGGGGCAUUUUCCAAAUAACCUGCUGGAUUCUAUAAUAUCCAUGUAGGCUUCAAAAACACCGAAGAUUUCUGUCUGGAAUGAUCGUGACAUAGCGAUCCUUACAACGCCUUGAUGAAGGGGAAAGUCCUUUGUAAAUGCCUUAACAAGAAAAUGAAUAUGCAACGCAGUAAUUAUUAGUGUAUUAUUUGGUCUGGGAAAUUUGAAAUCAAUAAAACUGGGCUGGUGACAUAUUGUUCGCGCAUAUUAUGUACUAACAAUAAGGAAAAAUUUGGGAUUUAAUCCAUUAAUAAGUAAUGCAACAAAUUUGAAAUGAGAAAUUAAUUAUUUAUAAAUCGAUUAAUAAAGUUUGAUUGCUGAAAGCAAGUGUAGGCGGGAAGAUACAUAUGCAAAGUAUGCUUCGUGAGAUGUAUGUAUGAAUACCACAUUUUAUAGACACAAUUGAUUGGUGAGGCGUCAAAUUGACCCAGUCACAUUGACCCACGACACAUUGACCCGCUCAUAUUGACCCGAUACCAUAUUGACCCAGCGACAGAUU